GGAACCCGCAGCCCGGGCGGCGGAAAUGAUUCCCGGCUCGCCGGCCAUCGCUCCCGCCACCACCCACUGAGCCAGCGGUUGCCAAGAGCGCCCGCGACCUCCCGGCUGCACCGGCCCGGCCACCGCUGUUUGCGACCCUCAGCGUCACCGACAGCGCGGUGGGGAAACCGAGGCACGAGGAAGGCAGGCUGUGAUUGCGUGAGCACCAUUGCAGACCGGCUCCCCUCCCACGGCAAACCGCCAGGACCGGCCCUGCAGCAAGGAAAGGGCAGGGAGGGGGAGCUGGAGGAUGGUGUGUGGGGACACAGCAAAACCCAGCGAGAAACCAGGAGCCACCUGGCUUUUCUGUAAUAAAAGCCGCAUGAACGUACACCAGAGAAACCCAGCAGACCCCUAUGGCACAUGCUGCACCGUGACCGGACUUUGUCCGGCCACCUGGACCCUGCAUUUCUAAGCCUCCCACAGCAGCCCUGCUUUCUAAAUCUAUUCACCCCACCACAGAGGUGAAGACCUGGGCAGAAGCACUUUGGGUUUAUGAACUUGGGCCAGUCUCUUUGCUGCUACCUGUGCUGGCGAGGACGGACACACGGAUGCUGCCCAACCACGCACUGCUCAGGGCUGAGAUGGAAAGGAAUAAUAAUAAUCACCAUAUGUUAUUUUCCACGAGCACCCAGCACAUGAAGCCACAGCCAGGUACUGUGAACCCAGCUCCCCGCCCUAUAGCAGCAUCUUAGGCAUGGGGAAACUGAGGCACACCCCGCGAGCACAAGCUUUGACCCUUUUGGGAAAUGGGUGGCAGAGCACAACUGCAGGAAGCACGAGCUGCUCCUGGCUAGGAAGAGAUGCAACCACAGUUGCCUCACACGCCAAACACUCUUGGGUCACUAAACCAGGUCCUUCCCAGCCCCAUGUUCCACUGCUGGGCCGAGCUCCCCUCUCUGUCCCACCUGGGAAGGGGAAGGGACUUGGUUUUGUUUUGCAACCAGCCCUGGUUCUCAUUGCAACAAGCCCCGGUGCACGCAAUGGGCUGGCAGCGACACUGCUCGCAUUGCCAGCAGCCCAGUGCAUGCACAGUGCCAUCGGCAGCAUCACCACUGGGACAUGCCGUGUCCCCAUCGUCCCAACCACUGCAUCACCCACCUCAGAGCCCACAGAAGCUCCACUCUCGGUUGCUGCAUCACCUCCCAUGGCUCCUGGUUUGCACAACUCCCCUCCCUGGGGAUCAAGUCACAGCGCGCCCGUCCGCGCUGACUCAGCUCCCGAUGCAGCGGGGACGUCGCAGUGGCCACAGCAACCGCAAGGAACCACCGCUGGGUUUGGGAGAACACGCUGAUUUAAUUAUCCUCCGCAAAAAAAGCGCGGUGCGAAGGGAACCACACACCUCUCAGUUUGAUCUCCCAUGGGAUGGUGCAUAGCGGUGCUGACCCUGCACCAAGGCUUGGGGACGUGGUGUCUGUGUCACAGGUGUUGCACAAGCUCCAAGCACCCAGAGCCACUUGCAGGGAUUCCUCUGCCCCUUCCUGCUUAAUUAAAAACCCCUUUGGAAGGUGCAUGGAAAAAGCGUGCUGCUUAAUUAACAGCUGGCGCGUGCCUUGGCUGGGUUUGCAGGGUGCAGGCGGGAUGGGUGCUCAGCGUGUUGCUUCACGCGACAGUCACGCUGUGGGCUGCUGUUAAAUGGGGUCUGGGUUUCCUCUCCUUGCUUUAGAGCAACCUAUGAUCUCAUGCUGGGAUGGAGGUAACACAACAAGGAGCUUUGCUUGUGCAGUGUCCCCUCCAGAGACAGCAUUGACAGUGCACCUAACUGGGGUGGGAAGAGGUCGAUGUGUGAAAUCUGGAUUUCAUAGAAUCAGAGAAUCAUUUUGGUUGAAAAAGCCCCUCAAGAUCAUGGAGUCCAACCAUUCCCCAGCCCUGUCCCUGCCCCAUGUCCUGAGAACCUCAUGUCCGUCUGUCCAGCCCUCCAGGGAUGGUGACUCCAGCACUGCCCUGGGCAGCUGUUCCAAUGCCCCACAGCCCUUUGGGGAAGAAAUUGUUCCUCAUAUCCUGAUCUUCAUGCAACCCCCAAGCCAAUUUGUCAUCUCAAGUGAAAAACCAUGAACACAAAACCUGGUAAAAUUCAGCUGUUUGAGCUCUGUUUGUCUCAGAGGUGGGUUGCAUAGAAGUUUAAUCUCAAAGCUUGAUUCAGGAGGACGAUGCAGAGGAGGCUGCACCUGAAGACACCCCUGGCACACGGGCUGUGCCCCCCAACAUCCUGGACCAAAUUCCCACCUACUUCCAGGAAAACUUGCUAAAACAUUUCCCCAUGCAUGUGGAAACUCCCUUCCCCGCCCUGUCUCUCACCAAAAAAACCCAUAAAAUGAAGCAAGGAGAUGUUUUGAAACAGAGUCGGUUUCUUUUCCCCUCCCGCUUUCUCUUUCAAAGAAAACUUUUCUCAAGAAAUGACACGUUUUUGUCAAACACUUCACUCCUGACAAAUCGGCGUUGUCACCGAGCGCUCGCUGGGGAUUUCGGAGGCGCUUCGGGGAACCUUCGUCUGCUUUUACCGAGUUACAAACCCGCGGUGGCGAGGUUGCAAAACGUGACGUGCGAAGGAUUAAUGAUCGUGGAUCUGGCUCCAGGAGCGGAGGCAGGGAGAGUCAUUUUCAUUUAGGAACUUGGCACCGCUCGGCGCCUCCUCCAGCACCGCCGGAGUAUUUUAAGCUCCCAAAAAUCACACGUGCAUUGCACCGAGUUUUUGUGGUGAUUAAUUAAAGCCUCAACCCAGAGAAAAAUACAAAGGUCUUGCUUUAUAUCCCUACCCAUAUCCCUACACAGUGACUUUCCCCUUCUUAAAAAUAGAACCAUAAAAACUCUUUGCAAUGUAAACAGGCAAAGAAGUAAUGAGUAAAGGACAAAACAUCAUCAUGCCAGUCCUGGUUACAAUCUCAUUUGGUAGUUUCCUGAACUCAACAGGGUUAUUUCUAUUGUGUUUUUUGUUUUAUCAUGAGAAUUGUGGUUGUUAUCA